UAAACAGAGGGAAGCAAGAUAGCGAUAUGGAGCAAACCCCUAAAAAAUAGGUCCCAGUUCAGAUUGCAGGCUGCAACCCGCCUGCAUGAAGUCGGAAUUGCUAGUAAUCGCGGAUCAGCAUGCCGCGGUGAAUACGUUCCCGGGCCUUGUACACACCGCCCGUCACACCAUGAGAGUUGAGAAUACCCGAAGCCCAUGUCAAAGUGGUCGAAGGUAGGCUUGAUGAUUGGGGUGAAGUCGUAACAAGGUAGC
rnacentral:rRNA from 1 species